rnacentral:rRNA from 1 species
CAGUAGCCGCGGUAACACGGAGGGUGCAAGCGUUAUCCGGAUUCACUGGGUUUAAAGGGUGCGUAGGCGGAUCUGUAAGUCAGUGGUGAAAUCUCCAGGCUUAACCUGGAAACUGCCGUUGAUACUAUAGGUCUUGAAUUUUGUGGAGGUUAGCGGAAUAUGUCAUGUAGCGGUGAAAUGCAUAGAUAUGACAUAGAACACCAAUUGCGAAGGCAGCUGGCUACACAACUAUUGACGCUGAGGCACGAAAGCGUGGGGAUCAAACAGGAUUAGAUACCCCCGUAGUCCCUGUCUCUUAUAC